rnacentral:lncRNA from 1 species
CUACUCUCUAUAGGUUGUAGGUCUGGUAUAACCUGUCUCUACUCUCUAGGUUGUAGGUCUGGUAUAACCUGUCUCUUCUCUCUAUAGGUUGUCGGUAUAACCUGUCUCUUCUCUCUAUAGGUUGUAGGUCUGGUAUAACCUGUCUCUUCUCUCUAUAGGUUGUCGGUAAAACCUGUCUCUUUCUCUCUAUAGGUUGUCGGUAUAAACCUGUCUCU